rnacentral:rRNA from 1 species
CUUUCAAUGCCGGCGACCGGCGCACGGGNUGCGUAACGNGAUAUCAAACCUGCCUCAUACUCGGGGAUAGCCUUGCGAAAGUAAGAUUAAUACCCGAUGUUGUUGCUUUCUCGCAUGGGAGGGUAACCAAAGAUUUAUCGGUAUGAGAUGGUGAUGCGUCCGAUUAGGUAGUAGGCGGGGUAACGGCCCACCUAGCCUUCGAUCGGUAGGGGUUCUGAGAGGAAGGUCCCCCACACUGGAACUGAGACACGGUCCAGACUCCUACGGGAGGCAGCAGUGAGGAAUAUUGGUCAAUGGGCGAGAGCCUGAACCAGCCAAGUAGCGUGCAGGAUGACGGCCCUCCGGGUUGUAAACUGCUUUUAGUUGGGAAUAAAAAAAGGGACUUGUCCCUUCUUGUAUGUACCUUCAGAAAAAGGACCGGCUAAUUCCGUGCCAGCAGCCGCGGUAAUACGGAAGGUCCAGGCGUUAUCCGGAUUUAUUGGGUUUAAAGGGAGCGUAGGCGGAUUGUUAAGUCAGCGGUUAAAGGGUGUGGCUCAACCAUGCAUUGCCGUUGAAACUGGCGAUCUUGAGUGCAGACAGGGAUGCCGGAAUUCNUGGUGUAGCGGUGAAAUGCUUANAUAUCAC